CCAUAUUCUUGUUGGACAUUUUGUUGUUUAUUUCGGCUUUGAGCCGGUGCCAUUUAGGUCAUGAGCCUUGCUUUAGAGUAUCGCAGGAAUAGAGCGUCGCGACGCUUCUUGCAACCACUAGUUAAGCAGAAACGACGCUUGCAGACUCCCACACAAAUCAGUCGACGUCCUGCCUCUGCCCAAUUCCCGUAGCGCCCAUUUGUUCAACCGAUUCACGUAAAAGUUGCCGAGUGAGUUAAAUCAGAAGUUACCGUUUUCUAUGAACUGAUUCCAGGCUUCCAGACAGUUGGGCCGAUAGCUACUGGAAGUUUUUAAGGAAAAUGCCCAAGAAAUCUGCAAGAAGUUUGUAAUGCGGUUGCUGACUUGGAACUACCUGAUUAUGUUCGAUAUUGCUUUCGUGUUUUUUCUGUUCCUGGUCGGAGUCACCUGUCUGGUCUACUAUUUGCCAGGUAGGAGAGUGGAAAAUGAUUCCUCGUACUUGGACAGUGGCCCCUUGCAGUGCUACGUCACUGUCCCAUCGGCUGAUAUACAAAAUGCCCCAGUUAAUCAAGUCUGAUGGCUUGGGCAUAUAAUGGAAACGCGCUGCUGCAUGAUGAGCAUUAAAGAAGAAACUAUCUAACAUGGCAUGAAAAACUACGUUUGCUUUCUAGUUCUAAUGGAAAUAUUCAUAUCAAAAACCAUUUCAAAUGCUGUUGCAAACGAACGUCUGUUCGAUUAUAAAGCAGCAAAUGAUCAAAAAUAAGUGUGUUCCCAAAUACCCAAUGUGCUUCCAAAGUUAUAUGAAAUAUCCAAGUAAGGUCAAUAAUAAAAUGUUUCGGAAAAUAUUUUUAAAUAACCAUUUUUUACUUUUGAGCAAUUUUAAUGUUGCUUGUUUCUAAUGCGCUCUCUAAAGUUGACGUAUCUAUAAUUUUUUUAUUUGUUGUCGCAAUCAGUAAGCACUUUUCUUGUUUAUUGCAUUUUAGUAUUUUUCACUUUAAUGAGGGUUAAAAACCAUUUAUUCUGAUUUUUUGUGUUCAUCAAUAUUUGGAAGGUAAACUUCUCUAAUUUGCUGGAAAGAAAACAUAUGUAAUAAUACAAUAACUAGCUGGUAAUGUACUUAAUAUAAUAGAAGAUAGAUUUUAGUAUAUUAUAAUAUAACUUUUAUAUAUACAUGUAUACCUAUGCUAGACGGCUAUAAAAUUGUUUGGCAUUGUAGCAGAACGAAUGGAAUAAAGUGAUUAUAGUUA